UUUUGUUUAUUUUGAAUUUGAAAUAGGUUUUUCUUAUGUUAGUUUCUUUUAUUUGUAAAAGGCCAUUGAAAGUCCAAGUGGUGUGUGAGAGUCCUUGGUGCUCUUUCAACUCUUGGCAAAACUUUUCUUGUGUGUUUAAAUUUGUGUUACCCGUUUAGGAGUUAUUAUUAGAAGUCCGCAAGUAAGAGUCUAGGUGUUCAACUUAGAAACUCACUUUUGAAAUUAAAAGAUGUUUUCUUACCAAUUAGAGAGUCAUUUUGAAAAUCUCAUUUUUUUGAAACAAAAAGAACUCAAAGAGCUCAAUUCAUGGCAACUAAGACAUAAGGAAAAUAAAGAGAUGAGUGGAGUGUAUUAUCAAGCUGAGAGAGAUAUCCCAUUCUUUGGAAGGAACAUUAGUACCUN
rnacentral:lncRNA from 1 species